GUGCGCAAGGACUCACGUUUCCUUUGCGUUGUCUGCUUGCCCUACCGGCCCCCUCAUUUCCCAGCCACUGCUGCUGCUGCUGCCACACUUGCAGCAGCAGCACCUGUGAAAGCGCUGGCUGCAGCAGAACAGAUGCGCACGGCGAUAAACAUACACGCGCAGACCGACCCACUCUCCACACAGCCUGUAGGAGCUUGCAGGCUUCACCAGCACACGCACACGUGCAACAAUACGCGAUACGCAGAGGACGAUCUUUUCUCGAAGCAGCUUGGCGUCCAUGAGCAGAGCGAUGCUGCCGCCGUCCAACGUGUAUUCCUCCGUCAGCUUUCGCACGCCGGUGAGCGCCGCCGCCGUCAGCACCACUGAUCCACCAGGAUCGGCGGCGGCAGACUCCGCCUUUUCAAUGGUUCUGCCGCCGCCGCCGGCGCGACGCGGGAGACGAAUGCCGAAGGAUCUCGAGGGUAUCGCGUCCCGCUACCUGCAGCGACUCGGGAACACCUUCAUCUGUGGCGCAGGCAGAGGGAAGGGAGGCCGCCUGGACGAGUUGGCCGAUGACGUCGCCGCAGCCGAGGGAGAAUGUGCCGGCGGUUGCAAGGCGCCAUCCAUGCGCCCUCAACACAGCGCCCGCAGAGGCCUCUGUGCCAUGUCGCUGGCCUCCUCCCUCGCUGCCGGCGUUGUGGGCACCCGGCAGGACGGCGAGGCGGCGUCUACGACUGCUGCCAAUCGCCGGAGGCAUCGGCGCGUUACCUCUCUUGAGGUGCCCAACAACGGCGACUCUGCCUUUCCUCGUAGCUCCCCUUUAAUCCCUCCAAACACGGCACUGCCAAAGACUGACUCGGCGCAUGCUAGAAGCGGCGACGAUCCUUCGGUGAUGCCACGCUUGCACGUCUCGCAGGCGCCAGGUAGCGCUCAGCGACGUCGACACGGGGGCCCGGAUGCUUUGGCCGCAUCGCGGACAUCUGAAAACGCUCCGGGUGGGCUAACGGGUCACCUGCGCAGACGCGGUAGAGGGUGCACCAAUGAGCAUUUGCCACCCAGCGUCCCUCGCUUGUCGCGUCCCAAGAGCAGUUCAGGCAGCAGUACCUGCGGCAGCUCCCUCGCAAGCCUCGACACGAGCGAGCGAGGCACGAAGGUCACCGCAUCCCCGUCAGCGCGCUGUCGUGGAGGAAACCCAGCGGCGGGCGAGGUGGCCGCUCCAGAGGCAGGCUAUGCAGUGGCGAAGGCAGACUCAUUGGUGGCCGAGGCGGCCGAGUUGAUGGCGAGCGCCGUGCCCCCACGCCGAAAGCUUCGUGACGAAAACGAACGCGCCGCGCAGGUUCUUGCGCAGGAGCACUCGAAGAUUCUCUUGCUUGUGGGGCGCCGCGCCAACGCGGUAGCGGACAUUGAAGACUUGGUGGAGGUGGCCGACGCCGUGAGGGAGAAGACGCGGCAGGAGCGGCUGAACCUGCUGCCGAUGCCAGGGCCCCACGCUACAAGCGAUGUGGCGACAGCGCCUUCAGCGGGCGGAGCAAGCCCGCGUCACCAAGACAGAGGAGGUGGACAUGCCGCAGAUAGAGUGACCUCGGCGUCUUUGCUUGACCUGACCGCGGUGCGGUUUCAGCUGCACAAGCUGAGCAACGACCUCUUGUGCAACGGCAGCACCAACCUUGACGCCACGCAACUGCGCCAGCUCGUGUAUCAGUUGGACGACCAUGUGGACUCGGUGGAGGAGGUUCUCGAGGUGGAGGUGGGCGGUGUAGCAUCGACAGACGCAGAGACACAGCCGCUCCGCGGGACAGCAGGAGCCGCUGUCGACGCAGAGCCGCUGCCACGCCGAUCGCUGCGGCAGCGGCUGCAGGGCGCGAAGAAGGAGCAGAAGGACCUGCUCGAAGCCUCGUCUAACUUGCUACACAUGGUAUGGCUCAUGGAGAGCGUCGAUACGGAGCUUCUGACGGAUAUGCAGCAUCCCCAGCCAACGGAGACGCGCGAGAACCGGGCAACGGGCGCGGGGACGGUGGCCGGGGAACAGGCGCGCGGUGGGAUUCCGUUGACGGCGAAUGAGGAUACGGCCGCUGCAUUGAUGCGCUACACACGUUGCCAGCCCAUCCCCGGCGGCGCUUUAAACCGUUCACUGUCCACCUCCGCGACCAUCACGACGGCACGAGAGUGUGGUAAGGCGGAACCGGGUCCUCACGAACGCCAUCGCGCUUCCCUCGAGACAACGGUCAGCGAGCCCAGCAUGGUGCCGUUCUCCCUCACCGAUCUCACCGGUGGCAACAAAACAGGCUGUAUAAGCACGGCAACCCCGACGCCGGCUGCCGGCGGCCAGCAGCAGUGGCGGAAGGGCCCGAAGGACACCGGUGCUGUUCCAUCCACGUCUACCGCUCCCUCACAUCGGCUGAACUUGCUUCGCUUCAUGUCGGAGGUGCUUGCUCAGUACGAGUUGGAGCAUGUGGAUGCAGCGAAGCUGCGUAAGAACCGACCGCUCUCGGCGCCGUCGAUGCGGCUCCACCACCAAGUAGCGUCGCCAUCCACAGAGCGAGACUGCCAACAGGAGAUCAACGGAGCCGAGGAGGUGGAGGCAGGCCUCAAUGAUGCAUGCUCGCAGCCGAUGGAGGUGACCGCGGGGGAUGACCGGGCUCGGCGCAGUGCGGAUGGUAGCCUGUCAUGGGCACGGCGGCCUCCCUCGAGCACGCCAGGCGCCAUCGCCGCCACCGAUGGUGGCGUGCAGCCUUUAGAGGCAGACAGCCUGUGUGAGAAACACUGGCGCUCCUCUGAAGCAAUACAUCACCGACAGAACCGGCGUGGCAGUAGUACGAGUCAUGAUCAGAAGGUGCUGCUUGGUGCGCAGCUGCGCAACCUGCGCACUGGGUUGUUGCACGACCUGCAUGAACUGUGCACGACUCACAACUACGUGCGGCUCAUCGAAACCCGCCGACGGGAGCUGAACGAAGGUGCCGGCAAAGGCGACGCCGAGUACGCGGUCGAGAUGGAGCAGAAGCUGGCUGGGCAUCGUCUGCAACUUGAAGCGGCAAAACGCGCGCGCGAAGAAGCCGCGAGGCGUGAAAUGGAGGCGGCAGCGCUGGCGCAGGUGUGGGGACAGGAGGGCAACAGGCCUCGCACAGGGAGCGACAAGAGGUCUGUCACUUCUGGCGGCUCGCAGCGGACGGUUUCCACCGAGGAGGGCCACGGCAAGCCGCCCAGCAAUGCCGCAGCCCCGCGGUCGGCGUCGCCAAGAAGCGGUGCGCUUCAGCCUGACAAGAAGCCUUCAGCGACGACGCUUCUGUCUGGCGCGGCUGUGCAAAGUCGCCCGACUGCGGAGGAGGCGGUGGCCGCCGCGCCAGUGGAGACGGAGCUGCUGCGAGAGUACCUCGCGGACAAAGGCCUUGUCUUCACCGUUGUCGGAGUGAAGAGGAGCCCUCAAAAAUUCGCGGGGGACGGGGCUGCUGCGACGGAGGCGCACGCCGGCGCUGCAGCGACGCACCCCAAGAAGAAGAGUGGCUGCCGCGUAACUCUCGGUGAGGCUAAAGGACCUAAUCGCUAUCUCUACUACGAGCUUCGCGUGGAGAAGCCGCUAUCCGCUCCGCCGUUAGAAAGCCCGGGUUUCGACGGUGCCACCAGCGACGCCACUCCUGCACCUGCCUCGGCCAGUUCUAUGGCCGCGGUGGUGCAGGUGAACACACCUCGAUUGAUGAACCUGAGGAUGACGGUGGAGGCUGGGGCGGCAGUGGAGGAAGUGGCGAAAGGGCCGCUCGUGACAAUGAGAGUCACCUCUGGCGCCCCAGCUCGGCGGCUGCUCACCCUUACACCUGCGAAGCCCUGCAAAGCCGUCUCCUACGCACAGGCCUUCAUGUUUGGCGCAAUAGACGCUGCCCGCGGCAGAGAGCAACGGCGACGGUCCUCGCACGACAUGUGGGAGGCGAACUCGACGGCUUCUGCGACCUUCGCGCUUCCCACCGGCGACCAAAGUCGCCGCAGCGGGUCGCGCAGCUCGUCUCUGGACAGCCGCAAAGUUCGACCUGCCAAGCGGGCACCACUCACGACCUGUUCCGCGGCGUCUGGCGGCGGCGGGGCCUCGAGGCGGUCGAAGGAGAGUGUUGCUGGCAAGGACAGCAAGGAGCCGACGGGGGUGAAGGGGCCCGACGACGCAUCGAAGCGCCCUGGAGGACAGAGCCUUGAGAGGGCUCACACGCCAAGCGCAUCAGGACCGGUCACAGCGGCGGACAUUGAGACAGCGAAGAGGACGCCGAGGCAAGGCACGCUAGCAUCCCCGACGUCUCUUGCGGGAGUGGGAGCCGCCGAUGCAACUGCCACCGCGCUCACCGAAGCCUCGCCGAUGAAUAUCAAUGGCGUUUCCAACACGGCUUUGUCCGGCGCGGCGGCGGUGAUGCUGCAGCCGUCGUACGCCUCUCUCAAAGCGAGUCAGCCGUCACUGUCGACCCCGAGGCAUCUGCCUCACAGUCCGCCUCUCUCCUUCGUGCCACGCCCUGCCGACGAAUGGGGAGUGCCGCAUGCACACACGGAGAUGGAGGCGGUGGAGAAGAACGCGGUGAUAUUGACAGUGUUGCAGACCAGCGAUGAGGGCGACGCUGUCGGUGCGGCGCAGCCGCUGACGUUGGCGACGGAGGAAGAGGUGGCGGCUGCAAGAGCGUCGUCUGCAAAGUCGAAGAGCGAGUGUGGCGGGACCGGCGCGUCUGCCUCAGAGCAGGCGCGGGCGUCUGUGAACGACAGCGACAUUCUCAGCUUGAUGGAGGGGUGGCGAUUGUGUGGCGCCACCGCGUUCGCCAGAAAGGGUGCUGAGGGGCAGAGGAUGACGGAGAGCCCGUCCGCGGCCGAUGCCGGAGCUUCUUCUGUGGUGGACGCAAUCGCGACGGCGAUCCUGCGCCAGGCGAUGAUGGACGGUGCUGACGGCGAAGGCGAUGCUGCCGAAGGCAGCGUGGACGCGAGGGGAGGCUCUGUGAGGUCUGGCGGCUUCAGAGCCGGCGUGGGCGGGGAAGGAUUGACCGACCCCGCGCGGCUGGCGGCUGAGAAGGAAAUGGCCGCAUCGCACGUGCUUCACUCGCCAGCGCCCGUAGAGGAAGAGCAUCGCGGUGGCGCUUCUCGCACCGGCAGCCAUGCUCCACCGCUCUUCCCCGCCACUUUGAUCGACGCCCCCCAACUGUCGUCAUCCCCCCAAAAGAGGCAGGAGCAGCAUGGUGGAGGCGAGCAAACCGCCACCGGGCGAGUCUCAGGUGGGCGGUUCGUGCCGGAGGCCUCGACAUCCAGGGCGCACCUUGUCUCCGAGUCUGCAAGGUCGCCAUCGGCGAAACCGAGGACGAUGCCGCCGCCGUUGCUCAUCACCUCGCAGUCACGUCCCCUUCACUCCCUAGAGGUGGGGAGCCACGGCGGUGAAUGCAUUCGCUUCGACUUCCCUGACGACGGUGCCGCCGGCGCGCCGACCACGCCACCGCUGCCACUACUGUCGCCCGCGAACCCACAGCCGCCGCACAAAACACCUCGUAAGGCAAAGCCUGCUCACAGCUCUGCCACGAAGUCGCCCGCCGCACCGGCUGGCGCCGCCCGCACAUCACCAGCGCCGCCGCAGGGUAUCGAUCCGGUAAGCGACAGGGCGGAGCAGGAGGCGUUCGUGCCGCCACCGGUCGUGGUAGUGGAGCGGACGCCGGGCAGCGCAAAGCCGUACAUGCUGCUCCCACGUGAAGCCGCGGCAAGCUUGCUAGGCCCGUCGCUUCGCGACAUGGCGCGUGGGCGACCCGUCAGCAGCGGUACUGGAAGGCGCGCCGGUCUCGAUUCCGACACACGAGGGGGCGCCGCUGCCUUCCACAAGACGACGGACGCUGCUCCUGUUGCUUCGCUGUCGCCCCUGGCAGCGGCGCAUUCCGUGUUGCCCACAACCGGGGCUGCGGCAGCGGCAGCCGCUGAUACGGAGACUUUAUCGCACGUGCAGAAGUUCCUGCAAACCAUUAGUGACGAAUUCCCGCGUCACGGCGCGACUGGAGUCGGCGGCGUCGACCCGGCGGCAAACAAGCGCUCGCUGCAGGCGACAAAGGGUGCAGCCACGCUUGCGCUGCGUACGGAGCUGGACCAGCUGCAGGAAGAUGCUCGUGAGCUCUUCAUGAUGGACCCUGUGCGGUACGACACCGUGAUCUCGGAGCUGAUGGAGCAGGCUGCUCGCGCACUGCUGCAGGGGUCUGUCCACGCUGCAGCACCAUCACCGGCUGAGAAAGAAAGGGGUGGACCCGUGGCAGGUGCAGCGCCGGCCUUCUCCCACAGCAGCCCUUUGCCAGGGUUGCGCGGUGGAGAGUCUCAAGCAGGAGGCGGUGCUGACGGUUUGACCAAUACAGCCGAUCCCGCGACAGCCGCAUCCUUCACGCAUGAGAGACCUUUCUGCACAUCAGGUUCGGUUCCGCCAAUGCUUGAGCAGUUUAAAGCAUCAGAGGCGGAUGAGGAUGAGCGGGGCCGUGGUUCAGGCCUGGGCCUGCGUGCACCGCAGAUGAACCUCAGCAGCACCAUCACGACAAAACGAGGCAGCCAUAUUAACAGCGCAGGCGGUGGCGUGUCGGUGUUGUCGCCGCGGCCGUUGCAUGACGCGUUUGCAUCGACACGGAGCCGUCUCUCUCAAGCAGCGGUGGCAUCACCAGAAGACGGUGAUGGCGAUGUUGAGAAGCAGCGUCCUUCUAUGGCGUCGUUCCCGCCACAGCCAAAGGCGCAGCGGCGCCCAACGCACACACUUGUCAUGAGGGACGGCGCCAUUGACGAGGCAGCGAGGCAUCACCGCGCAUCUUGCGCAGACGCGGCCGCCGAGGUGGAGCGAAUUCUCUACGAGCAGAUGAAGGCCCAACUGCUGCUGCGAGCCAUCAUUGCCAAGAUGAAAGAGCUUUGGCACACGAAACAGCAGCACGCCGAGGCUAAAAACCGUGAGCGCCUCGCCAAACACAGACAGCGCUUGAUUAAGCGCGGCUUGGCUGCCGCUUGGCCGCUGGAGCACCAGCGCGUGCUCCAUCUCCAGAAGCUGAUCCACCUGCUCGAUCGCCGGGUCGGUCGCGCGCAUGGCUGGCUGCCGCACUAUUCCGACUCCAACGUGCUCAUGGACGCUCCCUCUCUGGUACCGUUGCCUCGCAGCACAGGCGGUGCAAUGCUUCCGGCUGCGUCAACCGGCACUCAUGCGCCCCUUGCAUCGUGGUAUCGGCAACGGGGCCAGAACACGCUCGGCGCCGCGCAGGAUGCCGAUGGCGUCUCGGAGGCGCACGUGUGUCCGCGGUACCUCCACUACCUUCCGCAGCGCCGCCUUUUCCGCUACAUGCGCCUGGCAAAGGGGCGGCGCGUGCUUCCUCUCCGGCUCGUGCGCGCUGACAUUCACAGGAGCCACAACCAGCAUCUCCUCCUCGGCUAUGACAGGAUCGCCCUGGAGGACGAAGGAGAGGACCAGGGCAGCUCAUACGAGGGCAGAACGUCGGAUGGCUGGCCGAAGCGAAAGCUGCCGCGGCGCCGUCGCGGACAGCCACACGAUCACGCUGCUCCCUUCCAGGAAAGCCGGUACGAGGACAUGAAAACACGCGGAGAACGUGAGCGCUACCUACGGCGCCUGCAGCGCACAGCGGCGUUCCAGAGCGUUUCUAAGAUGUACUCACCGCGAACGCGGCAGGAGGCCGAUUUUCCCUCCCCUUUCCACUGACGAUGUACUAUCUAGCCUUCCAUCGGCAGCAGACGCGCCAGUGCGUCUUGGUUGUUUCUUCGCUUGCGCGCACUUCUCAGCGCUUGCUGCGCCACGGGUGAUGCUUGACGGUGUGGCGCAGGAGUGCGUUUACACGUGCCUCUAUGUAUUGAUUGGCUGUCCGUCGGUGCGCUUGCCUGCCUCUGGGGGUGCCUGCGGGGAGAAUGUGCCUUCGGCAUGUGACAUUGCUUCUUGUUUUCUUGCUUUUCUGAUGGAACGCGCGUGUGCCAGCGGGGACGUAAGUGCUCGACGACGAAGGUGUGUCUGCGAUAUCACACGCCAGAUGCCCUUCCCUUACUUGUCUCUUUGUAUCGCUGCCUCUUUGAGAUUUCCUUGCACUUUUUUUGUUUUGUGUCUCUCCCCCUUCCCUCCCCCCAUAUGACCGGCGAGCCAACUCUCACGCACGCAUCAGCGAAAAGCCCAUAAAGAAAUGGGCAGCAGCACUGCUUAAUGCCACACACACACACACACACACACUUAUAUGUACACUACAUUGGAAUCAGCUACCACAACG
rnacentral:misc_RNA from 1 species